rnacentral:rRNA from 1 species
AUCCUGUCUGAAUAUGGGGGGACCAUCCUCCAAGGCUAAAUACUCCUGACUGACCGAUAGUGAACCAGUACCGUGAGGGAAAGGCGAAAAGAACCCCGGCGAGGGGAGUGAAAAAGAACCUGAAACCGUGUACGUACAAGCAGUGGGAGCACGCUUAGGCGUGUGACUGCGUACCUUUUGUAUAAUGGGUCAGCGACUUAUAUUCUGUAGCAAGGUUAACCGAAUAGGGGAGCCGAAGGGAAACCGAGUCUUAACUGGGCGUUAAGUUGCAGGGUAUAGACCCGAAACCCGGUGAUCUAGCCAUGGGCAGGUUGAAGGUUGGGUAACACUAACUGGAGGACCGAACCGACUAAUGUUGAAAAAUUAGCGGAUGACUUGUGGCUGGGGGUGAAAGGCCAAUCAAACCGGGAGAUAGCUGGUUCUCCCCGAAAGCUAUUUAGGUAGCGCCUCGUGAAUUCAUCUCCGGGGGUAGAGCACUGUUUCGGCAAGGGGGUCAUCCCGACUUACCAACCCGAUGCAAACUGCGAAUACCGGAGAAUGUUAUCACGGGAGACACACGGCGGGUGCUAACGUCCGUCGUGAAGAGGGAAACAACCCAGACCGCCAGCUAAGGUCCCAAAGUCAUGGUUAAGUGGGAAACGAUGUGGGAAGGCCCAGACAGCCAGGAUGUUGGCUUAGAAGCAGCCAUCAUUUAAAGAAAGCGUAAUAGCUCACUGGUCGAGUCGGCCUGCGCGGAAGAUGUAACGGGGCUAAACCAUGCACCGAAGCUGCGGCAGCGACGCUGAUGCGUUGUUGGGUAGGGGAGCGUUCUGUAAGCCUGCGAAGGUGUGCUGUGAGGCAUGCUGGAGGUAUCAGAAGUGCGAAUGCUGACAUAAGUAACGAUAAAGCGGGUGAAAAGCCCGCUCGCCGGAAGACCAAGGGUUCCUGUCCAACGUUAAUCGGGGCAGGGUGAGUCGACCCCUAAGGCGAGGCCGAAAGGCGUAGUCGAUGGGAAACAGGUUAAUAUUCCUGUACUUGGUGUUACUGCGAAGGGGGGACGGAGAAGGCUAUGUUGGCCGGGCGACGGUUGUCCCGGUUUAAGCGUGUAGGCUGGUUUUCCAGGCAAAUCCGGAAAAUCAAGGCUGAGGCGUGAUGACGAGGCACUACGGUGCUGAAGCAACAAAUGCCCUGCUUCCAGGAAAAGCCUCUAAGCAUCAGGUAACAUCAAAUCGUACCCCAAACCGACACAGGUGGUCAGGUAGAGAAUACCAAGGCGCUUGAGAGAACUCGGGUGAAGGAACUAGGCAAAAUGGUGCCGUAACUUCGGGAGAA